GGCAACAUAGCUCAGUUUGGUUAGAGCGUAGGAAUCAUAACCCUAAGGUGGACAGUUCGAAUCUGUCUGUUGCCA
rnacentral:tRNA from 1 species